ensembl:snRNA U5 U5 spliceosomal RNA
UAGCUCAGGUUUCUCUUCAUCCACGCGCAAAUCUUUUGCCGUUCACUAAAGAUUUCCUUGGAGAGGAACGUCGACGAGGUCUUAGUUUUGAAGGAUUUGCUUUGGCAGAGCU